rnacentral:rRNA from 1 species
UACGGGGGGGGCAAGCGUUGUUCGGAAUUACUGGGCGUAAAGGGCUCGUAGGUGGCCAACUAAGUCAUACGUGAAAUCCCUCGGCUUAACCGGGGAACUGCGUCUGAUACUGGAUGGCUUGAGUUCGGGAGAGGGAUGCGGAAUUCCAGGUGUAGCGGUGAAAUGCGUAGAUAUCUGGAGGAACACCGGUGGCGAAGGCGGCCACCUGGACGGUAACUGACGCUGAGACGCGAAAGCGUGGGGAGCAAACAGG